rnacentral:rRNA from 1 species
CCUACGGGUGGCUGCAGUGGGGAAUAUUGCACAAUGGGGGAAACCCUGAUGCAGCGACGCCGCGUGAGUGAAGAAGUAUUUCGGUAUGUAAAGCUCUAUCAGCAGGGAAGAAAAUGACGGUACCUGAUUAAGAAGCCCCGGCUAACUACGUGCCAGCAGCCGCGGUAAUACGUAGGGGGCAAGCGUUAUCCGGAUUUACUGGGUGUAAAGGGAGCGCAGACGGGAACACAAGUCUGGAGUGAAAUCCCGGGGCUCAACCCCGGGACUGCUUUGGAAACUGGCUAGCUAGAGUGCAGGAGAGGCAAGUGGAAUUCCUAGUGUAGCGGUGAAAGGCGUAGAUAUUAGGAGGAACACCAGUGGCGAAGGCGGCUUACUGGACAGUAACUGACGUUGAGGCUCGAAAGCGUGGGGAGCAAACAGGAUUAGAUACCCGGGUAGUC